rnacentral:lncRNA from 1 species
CAUAAAUGCUGAAACCCCUUGCACAGCUCUUGGAACAGAGACACAACAUGCAAAUGUUAAUCCCCUGCUUCUCCCGCCUGGAUUGUGCCUCUGCUUAGCAGGGACGGGCAACUCCUUGGUAUACGAGCACAGAGGCAAAACCAGGAGGUGCAAACAUAACCAGCUUCAUUUAAAUGAGGACAAACUGGAGCAGGAAAAGAACCGGCAAAUUCAUGUUGGAAGAAGCUAGAGCGGGCAUAGCUAGCAGCCUGCUCUCUCGCACAGCUGAAGGAAAUCUAUGUGGAUCACCUUGUUACUUAUGGAUGGGUUUUAUAAUCCUGCACCUUUGUGGAUUUAAGAUUUCUGUAGAUUUAGGGCAGGGUUUUAUUCUACCAAUUAGUCUUUCUUUUCCUCCCUCCCAUUAUGUGUUCUUCAAGCUCUUUAAUUUUAUCUUCAACUGCACUGGCCGAGACCGUUUCCCCCAUUAACUAUUUGUGAUCACAGUUUACUGCAAGCCUGCUUGACCCAGCUUAUAUCUAAGGAUUAUGGGGUCAUGUGAUUCAGAGUUGGGAGAGAAUAGAAUCCAACUCCCUCCAGAGCCAGAGUCUUCUUCCCAAGGCUCUUUCAGACCCUGCCUCAGUUCUACUUCUUCAACAAGGAGGUUGUCACUUUCUGAGGAAGGCUGCUUCCUUUCAGUGGUAAAGAAGCACAUCUGCAAGAAAGUUCUUUCUUCUCCUAUCCCUUUAAGAUUUAAACCAAGAUGAGUGAGUGAUGCUGUGUUUGGGAGUAGGCAUUUGACUCCUUUCUGACACCACUGGGAGCCCCACACGGCCUUGGGCCUUGGCGGAUUCCACAGGGAACUGACAACAUUCUUUGGAGAGACACUGAAACAACCAGCCCCACUCUAUCCUCUCGAAAUGCCUCCAAGGAUCCCAGACUUUUGUGAAAGGAGGUAGUCGAAGGACUCUAGGGACGCUUGAGCCUAGAAGACGAUGAACAACCUCUUUCUUACACUUGAGUCAGGGCUCAGUUCUGCUCUGAGAUCCUGCAACUCUUCUUUGUAGACACCAGCCAAUGGCACUCUUGAAAUUUUUGAAAACAGGAUCCUACAGAGACUUGUGUGUAUAUCUCCACAGACCAAGUAUUAAACUACCACUUCAGCGCCAUGGUUCUUUGUGAUUUUAAAUGUGGGUGAGUGGGUGUCCAAGUGCUGAAACCUCAAUUCUAGGCUUCUGAAAUCUAGAAGGAAUAACCAUCUGAGUGUGAAGGAAAGAACACAAUUUCUUUAAACUCUACACCAGCUGCACAAAAAGAGAGAAGAAAACUAGAAAAUUAGCCCUGAGUUUCUGCAUCAGGUGGAAGGUCAGCUUCAGAGAGUAGACUGUAGCUCCUGGAAUUUGAUCCUUCUAUUCAAAAGCAAGUGACUGUGGGCUGAGUAGCUCCUGGGCUUGGUGCUACUCAAGGGAUAUAGGAAUGCGCAAGCCUUAGGUCACCUUGCUCUC